CAUUAAGUGGCUGAAAUAGUUAAGCAUUGGUCUCUUAAACCAAUUUAUAGUAAAGUAACAAAUACUCUUAAUGGA
rnacentral:tRNA from 1 species